rnacentral:lncRNA from 1 species
GCCACUCCCUUACCUCAGUGCGCCCCUAGAUCCGUCGGUGUCGGAACGGGUGGCGGUGGCUUAGGGUGAUGUCGGCUGUGGCGACGGCUGGGUAAGGGGAGAGAGGAGGCAACGACACUGGCUGUCACUGGAUCUGGCGCUCAGGAGCAGCAUCGGGGCGAACCACGACCGAAUCCAGGGAGCGACGCCGUCGGACUCCACGCGGCUCGGCUGCCGCCACCGACUGCUGGUGGGCGUCCCCGCCCGUGUCCGACAUCUCUUCCCCUUCUCCACCUCCCGCAGCUCGAUGUUGU